rnacentral:rRNA from 1 species
AACUUUCAACAAUGGAUCUCUUGGCUCUGGCAUCGAUGAAGAACGCAGCGAAAUGCGAUAAGUAGUGUGAAUUGCAGAAUUCAGUGAAUCAUCGAAUCUUUGAACGCACAUUGCGCCCCGUGGUAUUCCAUGGGGCAUGCCUGUUCGAGCGUCAUCU